rnacentral:rRNA from 1 species
AACGCUAGCGGCAGGCUUAACACAUGCAAGUCGAGGGGUAGGGUAGCAAUACCUGAGACCGGCGCACGGGUGCGUAACGCGUAUGCAAUCUACCUUUUACAGUGGAAUAGCCCAGAGAAAUUUGGAUUAAUACUGCAUAGUAUAAUUGAAUGGCAUCAUUUAAUUAUUAAAGAUUUAUCGGUAAAAGAUGAGCAUGCGUCCCAUUAGCUAGUUGGUAAGGUAACGGCUUACCAAGGCAACGAUGGGUAGGGGUCCUGAGAGGGAGAUCCCCCACACUGGUACUGAGACACGGACCAGACUCCUACGGGAGGCAGCAGUGAGGAAUAUUGGACAAUGGGCGCAAGCCUGAUCCAGCCAUGCCGCGUGCAGGAUGACGGUCCUACGGAUUGUAAACUGCUUUUAUACGAGAAGAAACACUGCUACGUGUAGCAGCUUGACGGUAUCGUAAGAAUAAGGAUCGGCUAACUCCGUGCCAGCAGCCGCGGUAAUACGGAGGAUCCAAGCGUUAUCCGGAAUCAUUGGGUUUAAAGGGUCCGUAGGCGGUUUGAUAAGUCAGUGGUGAAAUCUUUCGGCUCAACCGAGAAAUGGCCAUUGAUACUGUCAGACUUGAAUUAUUAGGAAGUAACUAGAAUAUGUAGUGUAGCGGUGAAAUGCUUAGAGAUUACAUGGAAUACCAAUUGCGAAGGCAGGUUACUACUAAUUGAUUGACGCUGAUGGACGAAAGCGUGGGUAGCGAACAGGAUUAGAUACCCUGGUAGUCCACGCCGUAAACGAUGGAUACUAGCUGUUGGGCGCAAGUUCAGUGGCUAAGCGAAAGUGAUAAGUAUCCCACCUGGGGAGUACGUUCGCAGAAUGAAACUCAAGGAAUUGACGGGGGCCCGCACAAGCG